rnacentral:rRNA from 1 species
GACGUAGGGCGCGAGCGUUUGUCCGGAUUUAUUGGGCGUAAAGAGCUCGUAGGCGGCUUGUCGCGUCGACUGUGAAAUCCCGCGGCUCAACUGCGGGUCUGCAGUCGAUACGGGCAGGCUAGAGUUCGGUAGGGGAGACUGGAAUUCCUGGUGUAGCGGUGAAAUGACGCAGAUAUCAGGAGGAACACCGGUGGCGAAGGCGG